UCAAGAACGAUGAAGUUGUUCACGUCUACCAUUUUUGUCAUUUUUCUCACACUUCUCACUAUUAUAGUCACGAUGCAAGGACCGAACUCAUCCCUUGCUGCUGCUGCUGUACUCGGUCAUAGAAGAGUGAAAAGAGACGGGAAUAAUUACAAUCCUACUCCAUUUAGGACAACUCCUCGACCAACGCCUACAAAACCACCCAGCCCAAAGCCUUGUUGGGGCUGAGGAGCAGCCUGCUGCAAGAGUGCGAGAGUGUGAUUUUUUAUCCCGGCAGCACCACGGAAUAAAACCUUUACAUCCUAACAAAUCUUGUUGUUCAGCUACACCUUCUGCGAUAUUAUCAAAAAUAAAUAUUCGCUAAUUUACCGUAAGAA